rnacentral:rRNA from 1 species
GACGAACGCUGGCGGCGUGCUUAACACAUGCAAGUCGAACGGAAAGGCCCUGCUUUUGUGGGGUGCUCGAGUGGCGAACGGGUGAGUAACACGUGAGUAACCUGCCCUUGACUUUGGGAUAACUUCAGUAAACUUGGGCUAAUACCGGAUAGGCGCUCCUGCUGCAUGGUGGGGGUUGUAAAGUUUCGGCGGUUGGGGAUGGACUCGCGGCUUAUCAGCUUGUUGGUGGGGUAGUGGCUUACCAAGGCUUUGACGGGUAGCCGGCCUGAGAGGGUGACCGGCCAGAUUGGGACUGAGAUACGGCCCAGACUCCUACGGGAGGCAGAAGGGGGGAAUAUUGCACAAUGGGCGGAAGCCUGAUGCAGCAACGCCGCGUGCGGGAUGACGGCCUUCGGGUUGUAAACCGCUUUCGCCUGUGACGAAGCGUGAGUGACGGUAAUGGGUAAAGAAGCACCGGCUAACUACGUG